rfam:Planktothricoides sp. SR001 contig_32, whole genome shotgun sequence.
AGGAGCCGGAUGCGGUGAAAGUCGCACGUCCGGUUCUGAAUGGGAGGUGGGGAGAGCGAUUUCCCCAUCGACCCCUAAC